GUGAUUCCCUCCGUCCGUCGGUGUGUGAGCUCUCUCAGGCUCGCUGGGGUGUUUGCUGGGUGAACUUCGAGGCUCUGAUCAUCGCGAUGGCCGUGGUGUGUGGGACUCUGCUGCUGGCCGUCACCGUCUGCUGCUGCUGCUGCUGUAAACGCAGACGCUCGUCCAGUUUUGACAGUGAUGAUGAGCAGUUUGCGCGGAGAAGAGAGGAGAUCAGACAGCGAGCCGAUGAGCGGUACGUAAAUCUCACCGCUG